CUGCUAUCGGUGUCCGANUAANCCAUGCGAGUCAAAUGUUNUUCGUGAACAUGGCAGACUGCUCAGUAACACGUGGAUAACCUACCCUAAGGACAGGAAUAACCCCGGGAAACUGGGGAUAAUACNUGAUAAAUUAGAGAUGCUGGAAUGCCCUCUAAUUCAAAGGUCCGCCGCCUUAGGAUGGAUCUGCGGCUCAUCAGGUAGUAGUGGGUGUAACGUACCUACUAGCCUACGACGAGUACGGGUUGUGAGAGCAAGAGCCCGGAGAUGGAUUCUGAGACACGAAUCCAGGCCCUACGGGGUGCAGCAGGCGCGAAUCCUUUACAAUGCAGGCAACUGCGAUAAGGGGACACCGAGUGCCAGUGAAUUUCAUUGGCUGUCUUAAUGUUUAAAACGCAUUCAAUAGCAAGGGCUGGGCAAGACCGGUGCCAGCCGCCGCGGUAAUACCGGCAGCCCGAGUGGUAACCACUAUUAUUGGGUCUAAAGGGUCCGUAGCCGGGCCAAUCAGUCUUCUGGGAAAUCUGGCAGCUCAACUGUCAGGCGACUAGGGGAUACUGUUGGCCUUGGGACCGGAAGAGGUAAGAGGUACUUUAGGGGUAGGAGUGAAAUCUUGUAAUCCUUAAGGGACCACCAGUGGCGAAGGCGUCUUACCAGAACGGGUCCGACGGUGAGGGACGAAAGCUAGGGGCGCAAACCGGAUUAGAUACCCGGGUAGUCCUAGCCGUAAACGAUGUUCGCUAUGUGUCAGGGACGGCGUGACCGUUCCUGGUGCCGAAGGGAAGCUGUGAAGCGAACCACCUGGGAAGUACGGCCGCAAGGCUGAAACUUAAAGGAAUUGGCGGG
rnacentral:rRNA from 1 species